rnacentral:rRNA from 1 species
GAGUUUGAUCAUGGCUCAGAUUGAACGCUGGCGGCAUGCCUUACACAUGCAAGUCGAACGGCAGCACGGGAGCAAUCCUGGUGGCGAGUGGCGAACGGGUGAGUAAUAUAUCGGAACGUGUCCAUGAGUGGGGGAUAGCCCGGCGAAAGCCGGAUUAAUACCGCAUAAGACCUGAGGGUGAAAGCGGGGGAUCUUCGGACCUCGCGCUGAUGGAGCGGCCGAUACCAGAUUAGGUAGUUGGUGAGGUAAAGGCUCACCAAGCCUGCGAUCUGUAGCUGGUCUGAGAGGAUGGCCAGCCACACUGGGACUGAGACACGGCCCAGACUCCUGCGGGAGG